rnacentral:rRNA from 1 species
GAUGAACGCUAGCGGCAGGCCUAACACAUGCAAGUCGAGGGAGAAGCCUUUCGGGGCAGAAACCGGCGCACGGGUGCGUAACGCGUAUGCAACCUACCUUUCACAGGGGGAUAGCCCGAAGAAAUUUGGAUUAAUACCCCAUAAUAUUGUUGGAUGGCAUCAUCUGAUAAUUAAAACUGCGGUGGUGAAAGAUGGGCAUGCGUCCUAUUAGCUAGUUGGAGUGGUAACGGCACCCCAAGGCUACGAUAGGUAGGGGUCCUGAGAGGGAGAUCCCCCACACUGGUACUGAGACAGGGACCAGACUCCUACGGGAGGCAGCAGUGAGGAAUAUUGGUCAAUGGUCGGAAGACUGAACCAGCCAUGCCGCGUGCAGGAAGAAUGCCUUAUGGGUUGUAAACUGCUUUUAUAUGGGAAGAAUAAGGUGUACGUGUACAUUGAUGACGGUACCAUAUGAAUAAGCAUCGGCUAACUCCGUG